CCCUUAGAUGUUCUGGGCCGCACGCGCGCUACACUGAUGCAUUCAACGAGUCUAAAACCUGGUCUGAUAGGGCUGGGUAAUCUUUUGAAAGUGCAUCGUGAUUGGGAUAGAUGAUUGCAAUUCUUCAUCUUCAACGAGGAAUGCCUAGUAAACGCAAGUCAUCAGCUUGCAUUGAUUACGUCCCUGCCCUUUGUACACACCGCCCGUCACUCCUACCGAUUGAAUGAUCCGAUGAAUACCAUGGAUUGAGAGUACGAAUGGGUUCGCUCAUUUCUGCUGCUCGAGAAGUGGAGUAAAUCUUAUCAUUUAGAGGAAGGAGAAGUCGUAACA
rnacentral:rRNA from 1 species